GACGAACGCUGGCGGCGUGCUUAACACAUGCAAGUCGAACGGAAAGGCCCUGCUUUUGUGGGGUGCUCGAGUGGCGAACGGGUGAGUAACACGUGAGUAACCUGCCCUUGACUUUGGGAUAACUUCAGGAAACUGGGGCUAAUACCGGAUAGGAGCUCCUGCUGCAUGGUGGGGGUUGGAAAGUUUCGGCGGUUGGGGAUGGACUCGCGGCUUAUCAGCUUGUUGGUGGGGUAGUGGCUUACCAAGGCUUUGACGGGUAGCCGGCCUGAGAGGGUGACCGGCCACAAUGGGACUGCGGUACGGCCCAGUCUCCUACGGGAGGCAGCGGUGGGGAAUAUUGCACAGUGGGCGGGAGCCUGAUGCAGCGACGCCGCGUGCGGGAUGACGGCCUUCGGGUUGUGAACCGCUUUCGCCUGUGACGAAGCGUGAGUGACGGUAAUGGGUAAAGAAGCACCGGCUAACUACGUG
rnacentral:rRNA from 1 species